AUUGAAGCACUGGUUCCCGUACGAUUACCGAAGUUAAGCAAAGUCAAGACAGAUCAAUACCUAAAUGGGUGACCGCUUGGGAAUACCAAGUUCUG